rnacentral:rRNA from 1 species
CCUACGGGAGGCAGCAGUGAGGAAUAUUGGUCAAUGGACGAGAGUCUGAACCAGCCAAGUAGCGUGAGGGAUGACUGCCCUCUGGGUUGUAAACUUCUUUUAUGUGGGAAUAAACUGUUACGCGAGUGGGCUUUUGUAUGUACCAUAUGAAUAAGGAUCGGCUAACUCCGUGCCAGCAGCCGCGGUAAUACGGAGGAUCCGAGCGUUAUUCGGAUUUAUUGGGUUUAAAGGGAGCGUAGGUGGGUUGUUAAGUCAGUUGUGAAAGUUUGCGGCUCAACCGUAAAACUGCAGUUGAAACUGGCAGUCUUGAGUACAGUAGAGGUGGGCGGAAUUCGUGGUGUAGCGGUGAAAUGCGUAGAUAUCACGAAGAACUCCGAUGGCGAAGGCAGCCCACUGGACUGAAACUGACACUGAGGUGCGAAAGUGUGGGUAUCAAACAGGAUUAGAUACCCUAGUAGUC